rnacentral:rRNA from 1 species
GGGCUAGCGUUGCUCGGAAUUACUGGGCGUAAAGCGCACGUAGGCGGCUUUCUAAGUCGGGGGUGAAAUCCUGGAGCUCAACUCCAGAACUGCCUUCGAUACUGGAGAGCUCGAGUCCGGGAGAGGUGAGUGGAACUGCGAGUGUAGAGGUGAAAUUCGUAGAUAUUCGCAAGAACACCAGUGGCGAAGGCGGCUCACUGGCCCGGUACUGACGCUGAGGUGCGAAAGCGUGGGGAGCAAACAGG